rnacentral:rRNA from 1 species
CCUACGGGAGGCUGCAGUGGGGAAUAUUGGACAAUGGGCGAAAGCCUGAUCCAGCCAUGCCGCGUGUGUGAAGAAGGUCUUCGGAUUGUAAAGCACUUUAAGUUGGGAGGAAGGGCAGUAAGUUAAUACCUUGCUGUUUUGACGUUACCGACAGAAUAAGCACCGGCUAACUUCGUGCCAGCAGCCGCGGUAAUACGAAGGGUGCAAGCGUUAAUCGGAAUUACUGGGCGUAAAGCGCGCGUAGGUGGUUCAGCAAGUUGGAUGUGAAAGCCCCGGGCUCAACCUGGGAACUGCAUCCAAAACUACUGAGCUAGAGUACGGUAGAGGGUGGUGGAAUUUCCUGUGUAGCGGUGAAAUGCGUAGAUAUAGGAAGGAACACCAGUGGCGAAGGCGACCACCUGGACUGAUACUGACACUGAGGUGCGAAAGCGUGGGGAGCAAACAGGAUUAGAUACCCGGGUAGUC